CUGGCGGCGUGCCUAAUACAUGCAAGUCGAACGGUCUUUCUAUGGAAGCUUGCUUCCACUGAGAAGAUAGUGGCGAACGGGUGAGUAACACGUGGGGUAAACCUGCCCAUAAGAGGGGGGAUAACAUCCGGAAACGGGUGCUAAUACCGCAUAGUUUUCUUGAUCGCAUGAUCGGGAAAGGAAAGACGGCCUUUGUGCUGUCGCUUAUGGAUGGACCCGCGGCGUAUUAGUUAGUUGGUGAGGUAACGGCUCACCAAGACGAUGAUACGUAGCCGACCUGAGAGGGUGAUCGGCCACAUUGGGACUGAGACACGGCCCAAACUCCUACGGGAGGCAGCAGUAGGGAAUCUUCCGCAAUGGACGAAAGUCUGACGGAGCAACGCCGCGUGAGUGAAGAAAGGUUUUCGGAUCGUAAAACUCUGUUGUCAGAGAAGAACAAGUUGGAGAGUAACUGCUCCAGCCUUGACGGUAUCUGACCAGAAAGCCACGGCUAACUACGUGCCAGCAGCCGC
rnacentral:rRNA from 1 species